GAUGAACGCUGGCGGCGUGCCUAAUACAUGCUAGUCGAGCGAAUGGAUUGAGAGCUUGCUCUUAUGAAGUUAGCGGCGGACGGGUGAGUAACACGUAGGUAACCUGCCCAUAAGACUGGGAUAACUCCGGGAAACCGGGGCUAAUACCGGAUAACAUUUUGAACCGCAUGGUUCGAAAUUGAAAGGCGGUUUCGGCUGCCACUUAUGGAUGGACCCGCGUCGCAUUAGCUAGUUGGUGAGGUAACGGCUCACCAAGGCAACGAUGCGUAGCCGACCUGAGAGGGUGAUCGGCCACACUGGGACUGAGACACGGCCCAGACUCCGACGGGAGGCAGCAGUAGGGAAUCUUCCGCAAUGGACGAAAGUCUGACGGAGCAACGCCGCGUGAGUGAUGAAGGCUUUCGGGUCGUAAAACUCUGUUGUUAGGGAAGAACAAGUGCUAGUUGAAUAAGCUGGCACCUUGACGGUACCUAACCAGAAAGCCACGGCUAACUACGUGCCAGCCGCCGCAGUAA
rnacentral:rRNA from 1 species